UUAAUGUGUAAUAGUUAUCACAAUUUUUAUUAAAUUAUAAUUAAUUUUAAAUGUACAAUUAUCACAACUUCUAUUUCACUUUUUUCGAGCUGUUGCUAAAUCCAUGGGUAGACAAGAGACAACCUGGCGAACUGAAACAUCUUAGUAGUCGGAGGAAAAGAAAGCAAAAGCGAUUCUCGCAAUAGCGGUGAGUGAAAUGGGAGCAGCCUAAAUUGUGAAAACGAGGUUGUGGGAGAGCAAUAAAAGCGUCGUGCUGCUAGGUGAAGCGGUGAAGUGUUGAACCCUAUAUGGCGAUAGUCCAGUAGCCGAAAGCAUUACUAGCUUACGCUCUGACCCGAGUAGCUUGGGGCACGCGAAAUCCCGUGUGAAUCAGCAAGGACCACCUUGCACAUGUGAAU
rfam:Gossypium raimondii chromosome 3, whole genome shotgun sequence.